GGUCUAUUAGCUCAGUUGGUUAGAGCGUGGUGCUAAUACGCAAGUAGUUAACGCCAAGGUCGCAGGUUCGACCCCUGCAUGGAUCA